rnacentral:rRNA from 1 species
CACUUAUAGAAAAAUAAUUAUAAGCUCAACCUGCUCAAUGAUAAUUUAAAUAGCCGCAGUUUCCUGUGCUAAGGUAGCAUAAUCAUUUGUCUUUUAAUUAAAGACCUGUAUGAAAGGUCACACAUUUAAUAACUGUCUCAAUUUAUUCCAUUACUAAAUUAUUUCAAGCAUUAAAAAAUUCUUAUUCCUAAAAAAGACGACAAGACCCUAUCAAACUUUUACUAAAGUUCAGCUGGGGCAGCUAUAUAAUAAAAACUUCUAUGUACUUUCACCUAAAAUCUCACCAUCCAACAAUUUAACUAUCCGUAGACCUGCUCAAAGCAACAAUCAGAUUAAGUUACUGUAGGGAUAACAGCACAAUAAUUUUUCUAAGCUCUUAUAUAAAAAAAAGAUUGUGACCUCGAUGUUGAAUUAAUUUAUCUAAAAGACGCAACCAUCUUUCAAGUAAGUCUGUUCGACUUUUAAAAAAUUACG